rnacentral:rRNA from 1 species
AGCGAACGCUGGCGGCAGGCCUAACACAUGCAAGUCGAACGGACCCUUCGGGGUUAGUGGCGGACGGGUGAGUAACACGUGGGAACGUGCCUUUAGGUUCGGAAUAGCUCCUGGAAACGGGCGGUAAUGCCGAAUGUGCCCUUCGGGGGAAAGAUUUAUCGCCUUUAGAGCGGCCCGCGGCUGAUUAGCUAGUUGGUGAGGUAAUGGCUCACCAAGGCGACGAUCAGUAGCUGGUCUGAGAGGAUGACCAGCCACAUUGGGACUGAGACACGGCCCAAACUCCUACGGGAGGCAGCAGUGGGGAAUCUUGCGCAAUGGGCGAAAGCCUGACGCAGCCAUGCCGCGUGGAUGAUGAAGGUCUUAGGAUUGUAAAAUCCUUUCACCGGUGAAGAUAAUGACUGUAGCCGGAGAAGAAGCCCCGGCUAACUUCGUGCCAGCCGCCGCCGUAACAC